ACGGGAGGCAGCAGCGGGGAAUAUUGCACAAUGGGCGCAAGCCUGAUGCAGCGACGCCGCGUGAGCGAAGAAGUAUUUCGGUAUGUAAAGCUCUAUCAGCAGGGAAGAUAAUGACGGUACCUGACUAAGAAGCACCGGCUAAAUACGUGCCAGCAGCCGCGGUAAUACGUAUGGUGCAAGCGUUAUCCGGAUUUACUGGGUGUAAAGGGAGCGUAGGCGGUUUUACAAGUCUGAUGUGAAAGCCCGGGGCUCAACUCCGGUAUUGCAUUGGAAACUGUAGAACUAGAGUGUCGGAGGGGUAAGUGGAAUUCCUAGUGUAGCGGUGAAAUGCGUAGAUAUUAGGAGGAACACCAGUGGCGAAGGCGGCUUACUGGACGAUUACUGACGCUGAGGCUCGAAAGCGUGGGGAGCAAACAAGAUUAGAUACCCUGGUA
rnacentral:rRNA from 1 species